GUGGGGGAGAGCGAGUGAUGGAGGGAGGGGGGGAUGGAGUGAGUGGGACAGGGCUUUGGGGAAGGGGCAGGGCCUCAGGGAAGAGGUGGGGUAGAUCCUGAGUUACCCUUAAAUUCAAAAAGUGAUCUUGGGCAUAAAAAGGUUGGAGACCUCUGAUCUAGUCUGAGCACCCUGCCUGGCACAGGCCAUAGGAAUCCACGAAGUGAUUCCUGCCGUGUUUGUAAAGCACCACAAGUACUGAAAAAUACCUUGGGCUACUGAAAUGCAGCAUAGGCCCAAAGCUGGAAUCCGGCCAGGGCCCUGGCACCAACAAUACUCUGACAUGAGCCGAAAGUCCCAUCUUUCGCAAUCCCAAAUGAGUAAGGCACGUUUUAAAUCUACUUCAGAAAUGUUCACCGGGAGCUUGGGAACCCAGCUGGGGCAUUGGUUCAACAGUAUCCCAGGGAGAACAGCAUUCAGAGAGAACAGUAUUAACUACUGAAACUCCAGCUCCUCUUCUUGAACACCUGGGCUUUUCCCCCAAAGGUCUUCUAGCUAAGCACUGACUCAGCCUGAAGAUGCCUCGCUAAUGAGAUUUAGUAAAUCCACAGCCCAAGACAGAAUAGCUGCAGAGCACUAUUAAAUUAUAGAAAUCAGAGAUGGGAAAGAUGUAUUAGGUCAUCUCCCUGCCAAUGCACGAUUAGUUCAGAGGCAGGGGGCUUAGAAAUAACCUCAAAUACAGUUCAGCUGCAAUGGGGCAGGCAUCAUUUAGAGGCCAGCUAAUAUUUAGCAGAAAGAAGUUCAAUUAUGUUGGUCGCAGAUACUGUGGAACUGUUUGAUAGAGAUUAUAGCUCUGGGACAUCUACUGUGGAUAUUGUGGUUACGUGAAUGAUCCUGCACUAGCCUAUACAUGAGGGGUAGAGGGGUAUCAUUUUACGGUGGCCAAUGAGCACAGCUAGUCUCAAUCUGACCAGGAGGUGUCUCUGAGUGAACAGGUACAUCCCGGGGAACGCUCAAGAGACAAAAGCAUCACAGUGACUAGAGAAUCUAAGGAUGAGUGUAUAGGGCUGCAGAAUAGCAGAUACAUAUAGACGGUAUGAGGCAGUAUCUUAUUGGACCAACGUCUAUUGGUAGCCGGGACAAGCUCUCCAGCUUCGCAGAGCUCUUCCUCAGGUCUGGAGAAGGUGGUGUGCAGGCAUCCUCUGAGGACAAGGACUGAAGUACGCUGCUGAUUAUUUACUCAAGAGGAUGGCCCCGUGGUUAAGGCAAUAGCCUGCAACUUAGAACUGCUGAGGUCAAUUCCCUUCUCUGCUACAGACUGCUUGUGUGACCUUGGGUGAGUCAUUUAGGGCUAGACUUUUAAAGGUAUUUUGCGCCGGUUUUUAAAAAUUUGGCCUUUAGUCUUUCUGGGCCUCAAUUCUGCAUCUGUAAAGUGAUGAUAAUAGGUCUACGCUACCUCACAGUGGUGCAUGCAGAUAAAUACAUUAAAUAUUAGGAGGUGCUCAGAUA